GGGGGCGACCUGGCUUCGACGGGGGUAGCAAAACCUGAGGUGCAUGCCGAGCAUGUAGAUGAUCUCGUAAAUCUUCUCUACAAAUUAUAGUUGCAAACGACGACAACUACGCACUCGCUGCUUAAUACCCAGUAGGGUGCCAUCGGACCAAUGCCGUGCUUGUGCGAUUGGACUCCCGGUGUCAUAUCUCACAAGAUCGCGUGGACGCUCUUCCGGGGCCGAAGCGUUAAAACCUUACCGGAAUCGCCGCUUGUCUUCCCUGCCUGUCGGGUAGCAAACGGUUAAAUCAAUAGACAGAAUAAGCAUGUAGAGCCAAAGGCGGAGUGCUCUC
rnacentral:tmRNA from 1 species